GCUUCUAUGGUGGAAUUGGUAGACACGAAAGACUCAAAAUCUUUUGUCCUUCGACGUGCUGGUUCAAGUCCAGCUGGAAGCA
rnacentral:tRNA from 1 species